CCCGCACAAGCGGUGGAGCAUGUGGUCUAAUUCUUAAGCAACGCGCAGAACCUUACCACCUUUUGACAUGCCUGGACCGCCAGAGAGAUCUGGCUUUCUCUUCGGAGACUAGGACACAGGUGCUGCAUGGCUGUCGUCAGCUCGUGUCGUGAGAUGUUGGGUUAAGUCCCGCAACGAGCGCAACCCUCGUUCCAUGUUGCCAGCGCGUAAUGGCGGGGACUCAUGGGAGACUGCCGGGGUCAACUCGGAGGAAGGUGGGGACGACGUCAAAUCAUCAUGCCCCUUAUGUCUUGGGCUUCACGCAUGCUACAAUGGCCGGUACAAAGGGUUGCGAUACUGUGAGGUGGAGCUAAUCCCAAAAAGCCGGUCUCNGUUCGGAUUGGGGUCUGCAACUCGACCCCAUGAAGUCGGAGUCGCUAGUAAUCGUAGAUCAGCAACGCUACGGUGAAUACGUUCCCGGGCCUUGUACACACCGCCCGUCAAGUCAUGAAAGUCGGUAGCACCCGAAGCCGGUGGCCUAACCUUUUUGGAGGGAGCCGUC
rnacentral:rRNA from 1 species